GAUGAACGCUGACGGCGUGCUUAACACAUGCAAGUCGAACGGAAAGGCCUCAGCUUGCUGGGGUACUCGAGUGGCGAACGGGUGAGUAACACGUGGGUGAUCUGCCCUGCACUUUGGGAUAAGCUUGGGAAACUGGGUCUAAUACCGAAUAUGACCACUUCUUGGAUGUUGUGGUGGAAAGCUUUUGCGGUGUGGGAUGAGCCUGCGGCCUAUCAGCUUGUUGGUGGGGUAAUGGCCUACCAAGGCGGCGACGGGUAUCCGGCCUGAGAGGGUGUACGGACACAUUGGGACUGAGAUACGGCCCAGACUCCUACGGGAGGCGGCAGUGGGGAAUAUUGCACAAUGGGCGCAAGCCUGAUGCAGCGACGCCGCGUGGGGGAUGAAGGCCUUCGGGUUGUAAACUCCUUUCGCUAUCGACGAAGCCACUUGUGGUGACGGUAGGUAGAUAAGAAGCACCGGCUAACUACGUGCCAGCAGCCGCAGUAA
rnacentral:rRNA from 1 species